rnacentral:rRNA from 1 species
GCAGUAGCCGCGGGAAUACGAAGGGGGCUAGCGUUGCUCGGAAUGACUGGGCGUAAAGGGCGCGUAGGCGGCGGCCAAAGUCAGGCGUGAAAUUCCUGGGCUCAACCUGGGGGCUGCGCUUGAUACUUGGUUGCUUGAGUGGGGAAGAGGGUCGUGGAAUUCCCAGUGUAGAGGUGAAAUUCGUAGAUAUUGGGAAGAACACCGGUGGCGAAGGCGGCGACCUGGUCCUUGACUGACGCUGAGGCGCGAAAGCGUGGGGAGCAAACAGGAUUAGAUACCCGUGUAGUCCCUGUCUCUUAUAC